rnacentral:tRNA from 1 species
UCCCUGGUGGCUCAAACAGUAAAGAAUCUGCCUGCAAUGCAGGAGACCCAGGUUCAAUCCCUGGGUUGGGAA